ACCCGCUGAAUUUAAGCAUAUAAGUAAGUGGUGGAAAUUAAACCAAAUGGGAUAUCUUUAGUAAUUGCGAAUGAACAAGGAUAUGCUUAGCUUGACAAAUGGAGCUAUUGGCUUUGAAUUGUAUUUGUGGAAUGUAUUACCAACAGAGGUGCAGGUGCCAGCMUAUUAAAUARAGCGUCAAUGAGGGUGAGAAUCCUGUUUGUCAUGUGCAGCCCUUUGUGCACGGUGUAUAUUUGCUGAGUCACACUCCUUGGCAUUGGAAUGCAAAGUGGGUGGUAAGUUUCAUGUMAAGGUAAACAUGCAAYUGAGACUGAUAGCACACAAGURCCAUGAGGGAAAUAUGAAAAGGACUUUGAAAAGAGAAUUAAAUGAGUUUGUAUUUGCUGAACACAAAGUAAACAGACUUGAUUUGCUUGGUGGGAGUGUUGCACUUGCUUGACAAGAGCUUUGGGCUGUGGGUGUAAUGAUUCUUUCUUUGCAUGCCAGUUUCUAUUUGUACAUCUGAUUACCUUUGCACAUGAAUGAUAAGUCUCCUGUGGGGGGUGGAUUGCAUGUGCAUGUAAUGAUUUGUGUUUUGAUAAAUGUGUCUGGUGUAUGUGUGUGUUCCUGUGCUUGGGGAUGCUUCCUUCCUUGGACUUACAAGCCCUGACACACACAUGCUGGCAAAAUGCUUCUGCUUGACCCGUCUUGAAACACGGUCCAAGG
rnacentral:rRNA from 1 species